rnacentral:rRNA from 1 species
CACGUAGGGCGCAAGCGUUGUCCGGAAUUAUUGGGCGUAAAGAGCUCGUAGGCGGUCUGUUACGUCUGCUGUGAAAACCCAGGGCUUAACCCUGGGCUUGCAGUGGAUACGGGCAGACUAGAGGCAGGUAGGGGAGAAUGGAAUUCCUGGUGUAGCGGUGAAAUGCGCAGAUAUCAGGAGGAACACCGGUGGCGAAGGCAGCCUUCUGGGCCAACACUGACGCUCAUGCACGAAAGCGUGGGGAGCAAACAGG